AGCCCAUUUUUCUGUAAUUGUACGUGGCGAAGUCUGGUUAGCCGGCUAAAAUGCUUCAUUUUGUGCUUCGUUUAGGUGUCAGAUUCAGAUAGAACAUCGAUAACAUUAUUUUGGUUUUAUUUCCUAUCUGGAGAUGGCACCUUGGGGACUUUCUGACUUCUUGAUAUUAGACCCGUGAGUGCCGUGACACUCUGCUGAUAUCAACACCUCCUCCAGCGGUCGAAGACAUUUGCGUUCUCAAGACAACGCUCGGGGUCCAGGAGCUGGUGACUUCUUGGUGGGUUCUUGAGGAAUGUCAUUGGUUUACUGUGUACGUCAUACUGAGCAUGGUGAAGGGUUGGGAUUGUCUGAGGAAUAACUGGAUGCUGCUGAAAGAGAUCAUGGCUCGUAACCCAGAACUCCUGAGUCUCUUCUUUGCCCUCGUUCUCUCGGGUAUCGUCUCUCAUUUGGAUAAUCCUAAAGGGAGCAAGGCUACCCCUUACAUCAUCCCUAUCCCUCCCAAGAUCUUUGGCCCUCGAUCUUCCGUCAUUGAGUUUCCUACCGGGGACAUGAAUUCUGUCAGGAAUGUGAUAGCAUCAACCGGAGCUGAAGUUUGGAUCAUCAUGUAUUAUGCCCACUGGGACGCCUACUCAUUGGAGACUGCCAAGGAGUUUGAAAAGGCUGCUGGGAAGAUGUCCGAUCAGGUGCUGUUCAUGGCAGUAAACUGUUGGUAUCCUUUCGGAGGCUGCAGGAAUAAGGUGAUUGUCCCUUACUUCCCCAUUAUCUUCACCCAUCGAGACAGCCGGGAAGGAAUCCAGUAUACUGGCAUCCAGAGGGCGCCUGAGAUGGUUGACCACUUGGAGAGGGUGUGUUCUCCUUUGAAGGUUGUCCAGGAUCUGGAGUCUUUGAGGCUGCUCAGAGCACAGCAUGAUGCUGUAGUACUUGCCUAUUUCAGCUAUGAGGGCACUCUUGCACCCAAGGGCCUAGCCUCCUUCCAGUGGGCUGCCAUGCAGCACCUGGAAAAAGACACUAUCCAACCAACACCCUUUGCCAUCAUCACAAACAAACACCUGGCACGCAGUCUAGGCCUCUCCCAUUCAAUGAACCUCACCUUACUCAGAAACUUCAAUGUAUCUUUGUUUUACCCUCCAUCACAAGAGUUCAAAGCAAAGCCAAUCCUUGAAUUUGUGACAGCACACAGAGAAUCGAUGGUGCAAUGGAUAUCCCCACCUGGUGUGAAGAGUAAAAUCUUGUCUUCCCAUGUCUUCACUCGCCCCACCCUCAUUGUUUUCACUCCUCACCAGCAUGAUAACGUCUUUGCCAAUUACUUCAUGAUGUUACGUGAAGCCACCUUAGAAUACUACAACUGUGCCAACAACUCCUACAUCCACCAACUGCUGAAAGUUAUCCAGGAAGAGCGUAAGAAACAUGUCCCUCAAUCUUUAGACUCUUCUACUUGCAAACCCAGUGAAGAUUGCGUGGAUGAGGUUUCAUCAGGAGACAAUGACUGCUGUCAGACCCUGGCCUCCAGAGGGCGUAUUGAAUCUAUUUCACGAGCGAGGGGUAAUGUUUGCGAGAUCUGCGAGACCUUCAGCCAGUCCUUACAGCCAUUCACCGACCCUUGCACCUAUCUAACAUCGAGUUCAGGUUCGCCUUUGCUUCUUGAUGCAACCAUUGGCGUCACUGCAUCAAGCAAUGCCUGCCUCUACCUGAACAACUUCUACAGCCCUUUCAGCCACUAUCGCCUCUGCUGCCAGGAUAUCGACCCCUUGACCUGUGACCUUUGCUCUCCAUUCCAUUCAUCGCUGCAUAAACAUUCCCUUUUUAGUGGAUCAAUGCAUUCGCACCGCACACAAACUCUGGAGAGUCAUUUUGCUCCCCAGCUUAAAACGUUUGAUUGUUCUCAACGUCUUUCAAAGGAUCAUAUUGAUUCUUUUACAAUUGUUGAUCGUAAUGCUGCAUCCUCAAGUGGUGAUAAUGAACAACCCCAACAUAGUCAAUCUUUCAGGACUACAGUAUUUAGCCAUCAGGAAAAUGAUUUUGAAGCAUCAUCAGACAGUCUUCAGAAAAAAUUUGAACAUCUUGGGUGCAGAACAAAUAGAACGUUAGUUUUCCGUGCAAUGAGAUCCGAAUAUUUUUGGUCGAUGGCAGAUCGACUCGGACUAUUGUCGCAACAUCAACAUAAAAAUGCAAGUGUAGGCGUGGCCAUCGUAGAUAUACAGAGUGAAACCCACCAUAUCCUUCCAUUGGACCAAUCAGGUUUAUCCUUACCACUCCUGAAGCAGUUCGUCAUCAACUACACCGAGUCUCUCCUACCAAGACAUCGACAUUCUACCUCUCCGUCCAGUACUACAGCCAGCACCUCAAGAUGCACCAAGGCAUCAGAUGAUACAGUAUGCAUUACAGAGGUCACAGAGGAGACAUAUGAGGAUAUGGUACUAAAUACAAGCAAGGACGUCUUGCUGUUGUACUAUGCCCCGUGGUGUGGAUCCUGCAUCAGAAUCCAACACAUCUAUCUUCAGCUUGCUACCCUCUUCAGGUCACAUGACAAUCUACGGAUCGCAAGAAUCAACGGUGACCUGAAUGACCUUCGUUGGUACCUCCUGACCCCAGCGUAUCCCACAAUCCUCUUCUUUCCCGCCCAUGAUAAAUCAAUGAGUGUCAGGUUUCCUGAAGAAAGUGCAAUCACGCUUCCAAAUCUUGUUGAUUUUGUGUUGAAGCAUAGUAGGUGAAACAAGAUUAAUUCAAGAUUUAUUUCUUUGAUUUUAAGCAAUUUACACCAUGGUAUUUUCUUGUUAUUUGAUUGGUUCCAUGGCGAUUGCUCCACUGGCAACCCUAAUCUUUUACCAGUGAAAAAGCCUGGAGCAAUUGUCAGAGGAGCCAAUGUUGUGUCAAUCAUUUGAACAGUAUCUUUAAUAUUCCAAAAGUUAAUAUUCUUGAUUGUCAUUUUGAAGGUCAAUCAUUAGUAUUAAAGAAAGAUAUGAUUCCCUGAAUGUUGAUUCUGAAGCCCCCUUCAAACAUGGCAGAACAAAGCUUGGCAACAUUUUUUUUAUUGUAUUCAGAUGGGGUGAGACAAAUCUCUCCAGUUUAUGUUAAUCAAAGUACAUUAAGUCUAAGAAAAUUAUCCAAAGUUUCAUGGAUAUACUCCUGAAUUUGUAAUGCCUUCAUUGUGAUGUCAUAAUAAUUCCAUUCAUCUGUCAGUCUGGACUGAUUGUGAUGUGCAUUUUAAACUUGAUUUAUUUUGCCUUUUAAGAGUUUCAUAGUUCUCAGUUGUCGCCUUGUCACAAAAACAAACCCUGUAGCCCCUUUAAUAUGUGUUUGACACCUCUAUCCCAUUGUAAACUCUGAAGGUUUCCAUGGUGAAACAGGAUAGUCUAGUAGGUUUCACGGUACGCCAUGUAUCUUUCUUGGGCAAGUGUUGGUCCUGAAUAGGACCACCCAUAUUCAACGUUUCAACAAGUGUGUUCCUGAAGACGACAUGAACAGACUUGUCGAACAUCGAGUUUGGGUGGUCCUUUUCAGGACCGACAUUUGCCCAAGAAAGAUACAUGGUGUACUGUGAAACCUACUACACUCUAUAUCCCAUUGACCUUCAAUGAAAAUUGCUACGCUCUAUGGAUGAGCCUCGUCUAUCGUACCAUUUUUGAAUGAGUCUUGAUUAUUCUAAUCGUCUGAUCCUUGUUUCCUGGUGUCAAACUGUCAACCGCUGGAAUAGAUCCAUGCUUCUGCAAACACUUUUAAAAUCCUGCAGAACUAGAUAAACAAUGAAAUUCACACUUAAAUAAUCACCUGAGCUGGCUAGCUGUAAACAGUUGUGCUGAUCAGCUGCUACGAUAAUUGUUACCGGAAGUGCAUGUCCCAGCAAAAUUAUGCUUGAUGUUGACAUCGACAGUAGAUAAUGUGUUAACUACACGCUAUAAGGAUGGAUUUUAUGCUGCUUUUAUUUUAAAAAUAAUAAUAACGUACAGGAUUUUUUUUUUCCCUUUGCUGAAAUCUCCCAAUAAAGAUUUAUUUUUUGAUAAAAGAUUGAAAGGCUGACUAAUAUGAGAGAUGUGUCAUGUAAUUCACUAAAUGUGAUAUUAGGCAACCUUUUAGCCAGUCAAGGCACUGUUUCAUCAAUACUUGCUAUCAAUAACCAGUCGCCCAAUCUCCCCCUGAAUACAAAGGGCAUAUGAGUUUACCUCUUUCUCGAUCAGUACAUGUGAUAAUAAUUUUGUGAUUAAUCAUCCUUAGGAAAUUUAUCAAGAUUUGUUUGUAUAUAUUUGUAAUUCUUGUUCAUAAGGAUAUAUUAUUUGAUUUUAAACAUUCUUUAAUUAAGGUAUAUGGUUCUAUUUUGAAUCAGGAUUUGUUACUAAUCUUGCCAACUCAAUUAUAAAGUACCAUAGGUUACUUGAUUGAUACUGACAAAAAUGUAUUGAGAUCAUAGAUAUGCACCAAUAAAUUAUUCUGACUUUGACCAUAGUUUUGACCAUUAGUUUGGGAACUAGAGAUUGAAGUUUGUAAUGAUGGGUAAAUGUAACUGUAAACUCAGAGGCUCUAAUUACACAAAAGAUGUUUUUGAAACCUUAGUUUGCAAUAGUUAAUGCAGAUUGAGUGUAGAGCUAGCACUACAUGUAAAUUAUAGCAGAAACAUAGGAGGAAGGUCCAUGUUUUGGUCACAGGGUGCUAAAUCAUUAUGCUUUUUUUUUCUGGUUUGAGUCCAUUGUUUAUAUGAACUGAUUGUAGACAAAUUCAUUCCCCUCUAUUGAUUUCAGAAUGAAAAUAGACUCAAACCACAGCAUUAAGUGUGAAUUUAAGGGAUGCAGUAUCCAUUACCCACAGCAUUACUCUUCUUUAUGUUGAAGAGAUAUUAACCAUACAUGCCCCAAAACUGAACUUGGUUGAAAUACAACAAAAUAGGUAUUCAAGUAUUCAACCAUGAAGAAUUGUAAAAUGGAUUGUGAUUUAUCUCCAGCUUGUGCAGUUUCAUGGAGAAAAAUCAAUAAAAGUGGAAACAAAAUAUGGUAUUUGUUGUUUAUGAACUUUCUUGAGAUAUAUCGGAGUUGAUAAUAACAAAAAGGACUUGCGUGCCUAAUUUAACUCAUAUCCUAGAGUUGCCAAAUAUUUUGCGGAUAUGGUCUGAUUUAGGCAGUACAUGUACAUGUUUAAAUCCCAUAUCUUUAUCAAAGCCUGUUAAUGUUAUCUAAAUAUCAGUUAGAUAUCAGUAGAAAAAGAAGCUGAUAGCUAUAUUGCUAUUAUAACAGAGGUAUAUUUUCCUUGUUAUAUGAUAUUUUCAUUCGUAGUAUGUAGUUCCAAUCAUGCCAUGAAAUUAACUAUAAAAUCUGUAUGUAGUCUGAAGAUUUCUAAUAUUUGCCUGGUACUUCAAAAUCCAUGUGAUAGUCUUCUGAGUUGAUAUUUACAGAAGUUUAAAUAUUGCAUAAAAUUCUCCUUGUUAUCUUGCUUUUGCAGAAGGAAUAGAUGAAUUUGUGGAAGGUCAUUGAUAUAAAUAAAUAUUCUUAGCUGUAAAUUUGUGCAUCAGGAAAUUAAGACACAAAGGAAUAAAUUGUGUAUAUAAUUGAAUAUUUAUUUCAUUCAAUUAAACUUGAUAAGGGAUAUCAGUUCACUCUUAGCACAUUGUAUCCUUUGGAAAAGGUGCGAUAUAAAUCCAAUCAUCACUAUUAAAACAGAAAACUAUUUAUCACAAGAAAUGCUCACCAGUCAUAAAGCUGUACAUUCAGUUGUGUGUAACUUAAUGCACAGCUUUAUACCAUCAGGUUCUUAUCUUGUUUCUUACUCGUCAAGACUUUAUUAAGAGGGUGGAAUUUUUACACCUGAUUAUACGUAUAUGGACUUAAGUUUUGUUCAUAUCCACAGCUGUGUUAUGAUAGAUGUUUAGUUGCAAAGGUAAUUUAAAAUCAGUCACAAUUGUUUACCUUAGAGAUAUGCAAUUUGAUAGAUUUAAAGUUGUCAUAUAUGUAAAUGCUUAUCAAUCUCGACUGUUUUUAGAAGGAUUAUGUUUAUUUAAAAUAUCAUGUCCAUGUUUAUGAAGUAGAUACACAUUCCAGCUUAUGUCUAUUUUCAAGGCAAAAUAUACAUUCUCUUUUUUAAGACAAAAAAAAAACAAUACUUAAAAGUCAAUGCUAGAGCCCAUUUGCGAACCAAUCUUUUUUUCUUUUUUUUUUAUCAUUGACAGUGAUAAAACGAAAGAACUUUUCUACAGUUUUGAUAGUAUUUUAUGAAUAAUUCUUAGUCACCUACUCAUAUUCUUUUUCAAUUUGAAGGCACUUAUAUUCAACUUUUUCAGUUAUAUUUUGUUGCUUACAUUAUGUUAAUUUCUUGCUGUCACAGUAGGUAUAUUUAGAUCAACUGCACCAUCAGAAUACCCAUGAAUUUAGGAGAACUUGUUCAAGACUCAAAAUAUCUAAUAAUUAUUUUCUGUAUUCAUAUCAACCAUACCGAACAGCAGAAUCAAAGUUAUGAGCAUGCGCAAUAUGGUCUGAUCAGCAGGCGAGGCGUAAGCGGCCAAUAGCGCCCACACCCAACUACUCGCCAAGUUCUCGUUAUUUGCUUUCACACUGCAAACAUAACUGCAACCUUGGGGAAAAUCCCUGUAAAAGUUCUCGUAUUUUUGACAAGUACCUUCUAUUUAGCAGGUAUUUUCUUUUGGAAAUACAAGUAUUUUGCAUUCACAUUUUCAAAAGACCAGGUAUUUUCUGAUCGGGUUAGAUCAGGGCAAAUUUCCGCAAAUACCUGUUUUUCUUGAACUUUGAGUCGGUCUGAAUACGCAUUCUAUAGUUAUUUAUAGUUUUAGAAAGUGGUGAAUACGCAUUCUAUAUUUAUUUAUAGUUUAAGAAAGUGGGCCCUACCUAAUAAAGGACUGUAUUCUUAUUCAGGGUCACCCUAAAGACUUCAAUGACAGAUAUCUGUAACAGAUGGUAUUUCUUUUGCACAUGUAUAUGUUGUGGUGCUCAAACUACUUAAAAACUUAUUUCGAUAAGACACAUAAUUAUAUGUUCCUCAACCAUUAAGGCAUAAGACAGUAACAAGUAUUCUAUUAAACAAAAUGAAAUACGGCAUCUACUCUGUUUAAAAAAAAUGUUCACCUACCAAUUUUGAAAACUAGAGAUAAGACACCUUACAUAAAAGUCAGAUCAGCAUCUGUUACACAGGCAUCGCACAAGCACCUUUUGAUUGCCAAUCACAUUCAUCAAUGACAAAACUAUGGGGAUACUGGGAAGCUGCUGCAUUUUUCAAAGGCACAAAUGUCUUUCACUGUGACUCUCGCUUCCCCUGUUCUUUUCUAUUAUGAUUGUGAAGAUUGGUGAUUAAAAAGACGCUUGCAGAUUCAUGCAUGAAAGACGUGGCUCUUACUCAUUGGAAAGGUGCCUUAAAUUAUUGGUUCAAGUAAAAAUGGAGUACUGAAUAGCAGUAUGGACCAUAGUUUUAUAUAGUGGCUUUCAUUGUUUCUUAAGUUCAUCAAUCUUCUAGACUAACAUUUAAUAAGCCAGUUCGUAGUUCCACUCUGCGCAUGAUCAGAAGAUUCUGCGUAUGAUCAGAGGAAGGUCAUUGGUACUUAAGUGACAUGGUGUUUUAAAAUUCAAUGAGAUAAGCACCAACUUUGAUAUCUUGAUUAUUCGUAUAUUCUUUUGAAUUGUGUUUGUCAUUACGUCCACAAAAAACAACAAUGCGUCCGCGAACGACUGGUAUUUCACAGUUUGCCAAGUACAUUGUACAACAUGCUGUAAUAUGCAUUCAAAGUAGAAAUGCAACAAAUAACCUUCAUAGAGUGUUCAUUGGUGUGCUAUUCUAGUCACCUGGUCUAUUCAAUUUCUUCAUCCUGCUAUUAAAGGAAUGCUUACAUAAUAUCUUGCUGUGAACUCUGCCUAUCACAAUGAAAGAAAUGAAAGGUCAUUUGACCAAAAUUGUCCAUGAAGUAAUUACGAACUAGUCUAUUGUGAUAAUCCCAACUCUUUGGAAAAGAGAUUGAUAUUAGAUUGACAUAUUUAUACUUAAUGUACAUUCAUUUGUAACAUGACUGUGCAAAUAAGAGAAGACAGUCAUGAGUGGUGUAUGGGAUGGCCAGUAAUUAUUUAUUUUACAUUAAGAGGGAGAUAUAUUGAUAAAUUGUGAAUUUUAUAUAUAAAAGAGAAGAAACAAUAAAUAUAUGGACAUUGCAA